AGCCCUGCCUGGAGCUUGGGAGAUGAUCAGGCUGGGCUUCCAAAGUGCCUUCCACAUGCUAGUGCAGAGUCUUCUGAGAUCUGUGACCUACUUCACCUGGGGGAAACCUUGUCCACAUCCGGUUUGUUGUCCCAUCCCCUUCCCAGGAAAGCAUCCAAGAUCAAGACCUUGCAGGUCCCAGCCAGAAGCGCCUACCACACGCCUGGGCACUGUGCCCUGCGUGUCUUUGAGGAGCCACCAGUUGCCACCUCCUACCUUCCUCUGGCCAGUUCUCCAUCUUGGCAUCGGUGGCUGCUGUGACACCUUUGGACGGGAGCCACCCUUUUAGCUUUGUGUUUUCCGGGUUAAUUGGCUUUGGCUUUGACACACAAAAGGCUCUGUGUGUGCCUGUGUAGGAAAGUUACAUCAGAAAGCCUGGCAGAGUGGCCCUGAGGCGAACACCUCCCCCUGUGUCCCCAGAGCUCAGGACUGGCCACACCACAAGGAAGUCUGGCCGAACCCUAAUUUCUGCCCGGGACGUGCCAAGGGGAGCUAGCAGGCUCCACCAGGAAGGCCCUGGGCCCCAAGGAAGACAACUCCAGCUCCAGUGUCCUGUCUUCUCCGCGAGCGGGCUCCGCGCCCCUGGCACUGUGAGUUGUCACUUCGAGCAUCUGUGGUCAUGCUGGUGUCAAUUUCUGCGUCCCCCUUCCCCCAGCCUGGGCUGCAAGGAAAGAACUGGUCUGGAGCUUGGCUGAAACCAGUUGAUUACACGGGUGUGUGACCAGGCAUUUCUCUGCUCCGGGGCUCAGUUUUUCCAUCUAUGGAAUGGGGAGAAUGGAUUUGUUCAGUGGUUGGCAGCACUGUCCCUUCUCUACAAGCCGGGACAAUCCUGAGAAGCAAGUCUUGAAAAGCUGAAAAUACAAAGCCUGUGGUCCUGGAGGGUCUUUGGAGACCCUGUAGCCCAGCCCAGUCCCUACCAGCUCCCCGUGCUCCCCGGGACAGGCGCCGGGGAGCCCACGAUGCAAAGAGG